CCNGCGGCGGCCUACACAUGCAAGUCGAACGGUAACAGGAAUUAGCUUGCUAAUUUGCUGACGAGUGGCGCACGGGUGCGUAACGCGUAUACAAUUUACCUUACACAGGGGGAUAGCCCAGAGAAAUUUGGAUUAAUACCCCAUGGUAUUAUGGAUAGGCAUCUAUUUAUAAUUAAAGAUUUAUCGGUGUAAGAUGAGUAUGCGUCCUAUUAGUUAGUAGGUGAGGUAACGGCUCACCUAGACGAUGAUAGGUAGGGGUCCUGAGAGGGAGGUCCCCCACACUGGUACUGAGACACGGACCAGACUCCUACGGGAGGCAGCAGUGAGGAAUAUUGGACAAUGGGCGAGAGCCUGAUCCAGCCAUGCCGCGUGCAGGAAGACUGCCCUAUGGGUUGUAAACUGCUUUUAUAUGGGAAGAAAAAGACUUACGUAUAGGUCAUUGGCGGUACUAUAUGAAUAAGGAUCGGCUAACUCCGUGCCAGCAGCCGCGGUAAUACGGAGGAUCCGAGCGUUAUCCGGAAUCAUCGGGUUUAAAGGGUCUGUAGGCGGGAGAUUAAGUCAGUGGUGAAAGUUUGUGGCUCAACCAUAAAAUUGCCAUUGAUACUGGUUUUCUUGAGUUAUUGUGAAGUGGUUAGAAUGAGUAGUGUAGCGGUGAAAUGCAUAGAUAUUACUCAGAAUACCGAUUGCGAAGGCAGAUCACUAACAAUAUACUGACGCUGAUGGGACGAAAGCGUAGGUAGCGAACAGGAUUAGAUACCCUGGUAGUCUACGCCGUAAACGAUGGUUACUAGCUGUUCGGAACGAU
rnacentral:rRNA from 1 species